rnacentral:rRNA from 1 species
UACGUAGGGUGCGAGCGUUAAUCGGAAUUACUGGGCGUAAAGUGCGCGCAGGCGGCCAUGCAAGUCGGGUGUGAAAGCCCCGGGCUUAACUUGGGAAUUGCGCUCGAAACUACGUGGCUGGAGUGUGGCAGAGGAAGGUGGAAUUCCACGUGUAGCGGUGAAAUGCGUAGAGAUGUGGAGGAACACCAAUGGCGAAGGCAGCCUUCUGGGCCAACACUGACGCUCAUGCGCGAAAGCGUGGGGAGCAAACAGG